rnacentral:rRNA from 1 species
GACGAACGCUGGCGGCGUGCUUAACACAUGCAAGUCGAACGGUAAGGCCCUUCGGGGUACACGAGUGGCGAACGGGUGAGUAACACGUGGGUGAUCUGCCCUGCACUUCGGGAUAAGCCUGGGAAACUGGGUCUAAUACCGGAUAGGACUCCGGACUGCAUGGGCUGGGGUGGAAAGCUUUUGCGGUGUGGGAUGGGCCCGCGGCCUAUCAGCUUGUUGGUGGGGGGAUGGCCUACCAAGGCGACGACGGGUAGCCCGCCUGAGAGGGUGACCGGCCACACUGGGACUGAGAUACGGCCCAGACUCCUACGGGAGGCAGCAGUGGGGAAUAUUGCACAAUGGGCGCAAGCCUGAUGCAGCGACGCCGCGUGAGGGAUGACGGCCUUCGGGUUGUAAACCUCUUUCAGCAUCGACGAAGCGAAAGUGACGGUAGGUGCAGAAGAAGGACCGGCCAACUACGUGCCAGCCGCCGCGGUAA